rnacentral:rRNA from 1 species
UACGUAGGGACCGAGCGUUGUCCGGAAUCAUUGGGCGUAAAGGGCGUGUAGGCGGUUUGUUAAGUCAUGUGUGAAAUCCCUCGGCUCAACCGGGGAACGACGCAUGAAACUGGCAAGCUAGAGUACCAAAGAGGGUAGUGGAAUUCCCGGUGUAGUGGUGAAAUGCGUAGAUAUCGGGAGGAACACCAGUGGCGAAGGCGACUACCUGGCCUGUUCUUGACGCUGAGGCGCGAAAGCCAGGGGAGCAAACGGG